rnacentral:lncRNA from 1 species
UGAAUUAUUGUCCAAACAUUGAUUAAUUAGGCUCAAAAGAUUCGUCUCGCAAAGUACAACAAAACUGUGCAAUUAGUUUUAAAUUUCGUCUACAUUUAAUACUCCAUGCAUGUACCGCAAGUUUGAUAUGAUGGGGAAUCUUCUUUUUCAUAGUGAUAAAGUUGAGAUUUGGGUUAACUAAGGCCCUAGUUUCAAGCAGAGGAGGAGACGGAAACCCGUCCCAUCAUCGACGUGGAGACAGAGACGGUACGUGUAGUUUAACUCCUAGCUCCAACCGAUAUAUCAAAUAUAACCCCUACUUCGAGGAUCUCUCAUCCACUUUUCAACUCUUACUUUUACUUCUCCCCGCACUCCAACCGAUCUCUCACAUGUGUCUCCUUCCUUUCCACUCCCCUCUAUUUUAUUUAUAUCUUAUGACCAACUCUUCUCAUAGCUCCCUCUAUGGAAUACGGAUAAAAAUAUAAAAUACAAAUUUCAAUACUGAUUGAAAAAAAUACGCUAAUACAAAUACUAUUUACAAAUCUCAGAAUUUCACUGAGAAGAAAAGAAUGGCUGUCCGUCUCCCAAACUCCUGAUCUACCUCAUCAUCUCGGGUCUCGUGCACUCUAUCUCUGCCCCUCGAAUCCUCUCUGAUCUCGAGCUGCCUUCAGUGCGCUCUCUCCCG